AAUGAAUACAAGUCAUUUACUUUAAUUAAGCUAAGCCCUUCCUAGACUGAUGGGCUUCAAACCCAUGAAAUGUUAGUUAACAGCUAAACACCUUAGUCAACUGGCUUCACUCUACUUCUCCUACAGCAGAUCAGAAGAGCA